rnacentral:ncRNA from 1 species
CGUCUCCUCCAACUCCUCAAGAAUUGGAUUCAGCCCGCUCCCACAAGGACGCGGGCUAUUUUUU